rnacentral:rRNA from 1 species
UACAGAGGUCUCAAGCGUUGUUCGGAUUCAUUGGGCGUAAAGGGUGUGUAGGUGGCGCGCUAAGUCAGGUGUGAAAUUUCGGAGCUUAACUCCGAAACUGCAUUCGAUACUGGCGUGCUUGAGGACUGGAGAGGAGACUGGAAUUCAUGGUGUAGCAGUGAAAUGCGUAGAGAUCAUGAGGAAGACCAGUGGCGAAGGCGGGUCUCUGGACAGUUCCUGACAUUGAGACACGAAGGCCAGGGGAGCAAACGGG